UUCUUUAGGACUGGAAAAGAAAGUCAGCUGAGGUUAUCGGUAUUUCUCGGAUGCUCCCAGAAUGCUGCUCCGCUCAGGUCAUAAAAAGCCAUAUGAAGUGUCUUGCCGUCGAAGGCAGUCUGUUAAGAAACAACCUAUGCUUAGGAAAAGGAAAACACUUCGUGGAAAAUCAGGCUUCUGUGCAAAACCUCGCUCUGGCUCCGACUUCCCAGUGGGCUCUAUUCCCUACUUGUUUAGUCUGCGACGAACAGUGAAAUGUUAUAUACUAACUGAAGAUUCAAAAACAGUGCAUUUUGACAUAGAUGAAGAUGGCCAUCACGAAAUAUCAAUCAAGGAUUCACAAUCCCGUGAAGGUAGUGUGCUUUAUAUACCAAAACUUACCAACUGUAUGUGUAGUACUCAGGACGUUUUCAAAUGUACUGUUAUAUGUACUGUGUCCAGCUCUGGGCACCUCACUGUGCCCAAUGUCAAGAAAGACAUUGAGGUGCUGGAGUGUGUCC
rnacentral:lncRNA from 1 species